rnacentral:rRNA from 1 species
CGGCGACUAAUCUGAGUAUNUAGUGGGCCAUUUUUNGUAAGCAGAACUGGCGCUGUGGGAUGAACCAAACGUCGAGUUAAGGGGCCUAAAUGAAUGCUCAUUCAGAUCCCAUCGAAAGGCGUUGGUUGCUAUAGACAGCAGGACGGUGGCCAUGGAAGUUGGAAUCCGCUAAGGAGUGUGUAACAACUCACCUGCCGAAGCAACUAGCCCUUAAAAUGGUAUGGCGCUCAAGCAUUCUCCCGAUACUCGACCGCCGGGGCACUAGCGGCCACGCCCGAGAGGCGAGGUCUCGAAGCCCCGGUGAGUAAGAGGGUCGCAGUGGUGAGCGCUGAAGGGAUCCGGCGUGAGCCGGCCUGGAGCCGCCACUGGUGCAGAUCUUGGUGGUAGUAGCAAAUACUCGAGAGAGACUCCCUUGAAGACCGAAGUGGAGAAGGGUUCCAUGUGAACAUCAGUUGGACAUGGGUUAGUCGCUCCUAAGCCCAAGGCUAAGGCCUGAUCCCACGCUAGCGGC